GGGCCCGCACAAGCGGUGGAGCAUGUGGUUUAAUUCGAUGAUACGCGAGGAACCUUACCAGGGCUUAAAUGUGGUUUGACAGCUUUAGAGAUAGAGUUUUCUUCGGACAAAUCACAAGGUGCUGCAUGGUUGUCGUCAGCUCGUGCCGUGAGGUGUCAGGUUAAGUCCUAUAACGAGCGCAACCCCCUGUUGUUAGUUGCCAGCGAGUAAUGUCGGGAACUCUAGCAAGACUGCCGGUGCAAACCGUGAGGAAGGUGGGAUGACGUCAAAUCAUCACGGCCCUUACGUCCUGGGCUACACACGUGCUACAAUGGUAGGGACAGAGAGCAGCCACUUCGUGAGAAGGAGC
rnacentral:rRNA from 1 species